UUAAUUAUUAAUAGGCCCGGGCAAAUAAAGGAUGGGAAAGCCCAGCUGGGCCUGACUCAAAUCUUGCCUCCGAAGCAAAUGGCUUUUGGUUCACGUCCAGGAGACCCAGCCACGAACGCGCUUGUUGGGAAAGCAGUGACAACCCGGAGGCGGCCGCAGCGGACGCACCGCUCAUACCUGCUUUAGAAAGGUGACGACGAGGGAGCGGGCCACAGUCGGGGCCCAGGGAUGGCAAACGCGGGGCCUCUGCGUUCAGGCCCAGAUGACCUGGGUGUCCUAUUCGGGGCCCAGCGUUCCACUGGGGUGGACACUGCAGACCUCUCCUCCUCUAAGCGCCGCCCAGACCCUGGGGCUGUCCAGCCGCUAAGGAGCUGCAGGCAGAGCUUUCUCCAGAAGCCACAGUGAGAACAAGGCAAGACAGUGUGAGGUUUGGGCUGAGGAGACCCCAAGAGAGAGAGACUUUGCCCCUCUUUUCUACUGCCACCCGCCUUAUCUUCACCGAACUCCUAUCCACCCUUCAAAGCCCGGCUCAGACGGCCUGUCCUCCAGGAAGCCCUGCCCAGUCCCAGCCAUGUUAACAACCAAGGAUACAGAUGCUGUCCCUGCUCUGCUGACAGUUUAGCAAAGUUAUUAAUCAAGUGACCAUCACAAACCAGGAGGACAGAAGGACACCGUGCUCUAAAGCAGGGAGAUGGUGCACGCUGUUUGGGGGAGCACACAUGAAUGUCCAAGGGCCAGCGCGUGGGCCAGGAGCAAAGGCGGCCUUCACUCAGCUGAGCAGCAGUCGGCAGGAGCCCGCUGGAAACUGGGAAACGGACUGACCGAAGCCCCUCGGUUCUGUUGCCCAGACCGAACACGGAGACCCGAGUGUGGCCAUCAAAAAGGAAUAAGCGAACAGGACCAAAGGCAAGCUACACGGCCCGUCCACGUAGAGUCAUGGGGUGUGGGUUGGCGAUUCUGUGUUUGUGGGACAUGAAAGAUCAGUCGGGAGCUGAAAACCAGGUAUUGCAGGCUUUAUUAGGAGAAAGACCUGCCGGGCUGUCUCGCAAGGGGAGAGCAGCAGCCCAUGCAGAGGCGAGCAGUCCUUCUGAGGGGCGGGAUGGGAAGGAAUGGGGCUUAGGGUACUCGGGCGAGCUGAUUGGUGGCUUAAUGAAUGGUCCAUAUAAGGUACAUGGUUAGGCACUCAGGUAUUUCCGGGCUGCAGGCUACUGUUACUCCGCCCACCAGUGGGGGGAAGGGAGGAUCCAGCAGGACAAUACAGAGGGGAAAGCGCCAGCCACCAAGGCUGUGAGGAAACUGCAGGACCUGGGAAAGAAAGCACAUUCAUUCUAAACGCCGGGGGAGCAGGCCUCGGACAGCCGUUUCCUGCAGGAGCCAGAGGAAGACGCCGGAAACUGCGUGGCAGCUUCAGCGGCAAACCGGGAGCAGAAGGGCAGCGGGCGGCCCGGUGGGCGGGAAAAGGCAGCCUGAGGAUAUGAAAAGGGACAGGACGGUGGAGUGGGUUGACCUGUGGUCUCCAAAGAGAUAGGUCCAAGUUCUAACCGCCGGUUCCUGUGAACGUGACCUUAUUUGGGAAAAGGCUCCUGGCAGAUACAUGACGUUCAGAGUCUCAGGGUGAGUCACCCUGGAUUAACGGGGUGGGCCCUAAAUCCAACGAUAAGUGUCCGUAUAAGAAGC